rnacentral:rRNA from 1 species
UACGAAGGGGGCUAGCGUUGUUCGGAAUUACUGGGCGUAAAGCGUUUGUAGGCGGUCUAUCAAGUCAGGGGUGAAAUCCCAGAGCUCAACUCUGGAAUUGCCUUUGAAACUGAUAGGCUAGAGAAUGUUAGAGGAAAGUGGAAUUCCUAGUGUAGGAGUGAAAUCCGUAGAGAUUAAGGAGGAAUAUCGAUGGCGAAGGCAGCUUUCUGGGAACAUUUCUGACGCUGAGAAACGAAAGCGUUGGGUAGCAAACAGGAUUAGAA